GACGAACGCUGGCGGCGUGCCUAAUACACGCAAGUCGAGCGGACGGAUGGGAGCUUGCUCCCAGACCGUCAGCGGCGGACGGGUGAGUAACACGUGGGCAACCUGCCUGUAAGACUGGGAUAACUCCGGGAAACCGGGGCUAAUACCGGAUAACUCUUUCCCUCACAUGAGGGAAAGCUGAAAGAUGGCAUCUCGCUAUCACUUACAGAUGGGCCCGCGGCGCAUUAGCUAGUUGGUGAGGUAACGGCUCACCAAGGCGACGAUGCGUAGCCGACCUGAGAGGGUGAUCGGCCACACUGGGACUGAGACACGGCCCAGACUCCUACGGGAGGCAGCAGUAGGGAAUCUUCCGCAAUGGACGAAAGUCUGACGGAGCAACGCCGCGUGAGUGAUGAAGGUUUUCGGAUCGUAAAACUCUGUUGUCAGGGAAGAACAAGUACCGGAGUAACUGCCGGUACCUUGACGGUACCUGACCAGAAAGCCACGGCUAACUACGUG
rnacentral:rRNA from 1 species